rnacentral:lncRNA from 13 species
UUUCCAUCUGCCAGUGGUGCUAAUCCUUAAUCUUGGUGUAACUAGAUAAUCUUUUCAGAUAUUAAUUCAUGUGGAGUUCUCUCUGUAUCUUCUCUUUUUCAAUGUCCCUGACUACCUCCCUCUCCCUCUUUCUCCUUUCCGCACCUGCAUUCAAGCUGACCCUUGAUUUCAGCUGUCUGGCUUCAGUGACUUGUGGAGAAUCUGCCUUAAGACAAGUCCCAGAAAAGUGGCCCCUGAUCCAAAAUCUCCUGAUCAAUUCAAUGAUGGUCCAUCAAGCUCAAAUGAAAAGAUGAUUUAAAGACUGGGAGGAAAUAUUUGCAAAUUAAAGUAUCUUGCAAAUAGUCUUAUAUUCAGAAGAUACAAAGAAGUUUUGAGACUUAACAAUAACAAAACAAACAACCCAGUGAAAAAUGAGCAACAGAUUUGAACACGAUGGUGCCAUCUAUGAGAACUGGCUCUUACCAGACACUGAAACUGAUAGUGCCUUGAGCUUGGACUUCCCAGCCUUCAAAAUAAAGUUCUGUUGUUUGCAACUUACCCA